AGCAGCCGCGGUAAUUCCAGCUCCAAUAGCGUAUAUUAAAGUUGUUGCAGUUAAAAAGCUCGUAGUUGAAUUUCGAGACCGGUUUAUUGGUCGUGCUUUUGUACGUACUGGUAUUAUUGGUUUCUCCUUUCUGACGAAUCUUAAUGCCAUUAAUUUGGUGUUUUGGGGAAUCAGGACUGUUACUUUGAAAAAAUUAGAGUGUUUAAAGCAGGCUCACGCUUGAAUACAUUAGCAUGGAAUAACGGAAUAGGACGUUUGAUUCUAUUUUGUUGGUUUCUAGGAUCGACGUAAUGAUUAAUAGGGAUAGUUGGGGGCAUUAGUAUUCAAUUGUCAGAGGUGAAAUUCUUGGAUUUAUUGAAGACUAACUACUGCGAAAGCAUUUGCCAAGGAUGUUUUCAUUAAUCAAGAACGAAAGUUAGGGGAUCGAAGAUGAUCAGAUACCGUCGUAGUCUUAACCAUAAACUAUGCCGACUAGGGAUCGGAUGAUGUUAAUUUUUAAUGACUCAUUCGGCGCCUUACG
rnacentral:rRNA from 1 species